UGAAGAUUAGAUUCCUACUGAGGCAUGCCGGAUGAAGGAGGAGGAGAAUGACAACUCAACAAAGGGAAGCAUCAGGGAGUUUAUUUAUUUCAAUUUUUUUGGGGGGGGGGAUGAUAUCGGUCCCGGUGUUGGCGCAGAGCUACCUGGGAGGCCUCAGCCAGUUUGUAGGCUCUCAUUCCUCAGCGAGUUGGAUAGGCUCCCAUGCCAAAGCUGGAUGAACAGGUUCCUUUGCCUCAGCCGAGGCAAUUGGGGAGGUCUCAGCCAGCUCUCAGCCGGUUCAUCAGGUUUCUGAUGGAGACCUGCCCACUCCGGAUCCCCUGGAUCGUCCCUGUGGUUGGAGUCCUGCGGCUGGAGCCGGACGGCAUCCUGCGGCAGGAGCAGAGCGUCAGGGGGUACUGUCUUGUGCGCUCCCUCUCCAGUCUCUAGGUCACCAGGCUGCUCGUUUAUGGCGCACACCUGUCACCAGCGUUACGCGCAUAAUGACACUCACCUGGACUCCAUCACCUCCUUGAUUCUGUGGCUGUUCCAUGUCGGUGUGCUGUUUGUUAUGUGUUUGUUUCAUUUAUUUAUUAAAUGUAUUCACUCCUUGAACUUGCUUCCCGACUCUCAGCGCACAUGAUUACACUACAUCACUUUUGAAGUUCACUUUCCUUGCUUUGUCUAACAGUAUCAUGAAUCUAGCAAAGAAGUUGUGGUUCAGAGUGCAGUAUUUAUAAUGUUUCAUAGCCAAUUUCUCACACUGGCUUUAGCCAUGAAUCUGCUAGCUUCUGAUAUGACUUACUGCAUCUUUUAGUAUGUUAAAGUAUCUGGUCUGAUUACUUUGAUAGACUACUCAAUCAAUAUGGCCAUGCUUUCCACCUGGCUACCUCUACCCCGGUCAACAGCACUGCACCCCCCAAAGCAACGCGCCCAAGCCUUCCCCAUUUCUCCUUCUCCCAAAUCCAGUCAGCUGAUGUUCUGAAAGAGCUGCAAAAUCUGGACCCCUACAAUUCAGCCGGGCUAUACAAUCUAGACCCUUUCUUUCUAAAAUUAUCAGGCAAAAUUGUUGCAACCCUUAUUACUAGCCUGUUCAACCUCUCUUUCGUGUCGUCUGAGAUUCCCAAAGAAUGAAAAGCAGCUGCGGUCAUCCCCCCCCUUCAAAGGGGGAACACUCUUGACCCAAACUGCUACAGACCUAUAUCUAUCCUACCCUGCCUUUCUAAGGUCUUCGAAAGCCAAGUUAACAAACAGAUUACCGACCAUUUCGAAU
rnacentral:lncRNA from 1 species